CCAAAGCAGCCGGCCGAACGCGAACCUGCAUUUCUCAAGGCUCGACCCCAAACCUUGCUCCCCGGGAGUCCCAGGCUGCCUCUCAGGAUUUAGGCUCUGCUCGUUUUCUCCCCUAUCUCUGCAAGUUCCAUAGGACAUUAACUCUUAUUUGUAAUUACUUAGUGUUCCGUCUUGCCCAGCACCCUCUUUUGGCAAAUGAGCCCUGAGACCCAAAGAGGGGAAAUGAUUUUCUAAGGCUAUAUAGGAAGUUGGAACCAGCUGAGGACUCCUGACAGGAAAACUGGAGAAAGUAUUUUAUUAGGUUCGCUGGUGGUACGAAGCACUGGAGACAAACUGAUCACUCGAUCGGAGAAUGCCCAUGGUCAAAGACAGAAAAGGGUGGAGGAGGAAACCACAGAAAGGAUUGGAGCAGGGGACUUCACUUUUCAGGCUUCCAUCUUAAACAAUAUCACUCUGGCUGCUAUUGGAGGACUGGAUCAGAGUGGGAGACUAAAGACUUGAAGUUUUUCAGGUGAGAUUUGGUGGAGAUGAUGGAGAAAAUUGGAAUAAAAUGGGGUUCAUUCUUUUUAAAAAAACUUUAUAAAAAUAUUUUUUUAGGUUGCUGUGAAAUAUACAUAACAAAAUUUUCCAUUUUUAAGUGUACAGCUCAGUGGCACAGUGAAGUACAUUCACUUCAUUUUACAGCCAUCCCCGCCAUCCAUUUUCAGAACCUUUUAUCUUGCAAAAGUGAAACUCUGUACCCAUUAAACUAUUAACUCCGCAUCCGCAGCCCCUGGAAACUACCAUUCUACUUUCUGUCUGAAUUUGACUAAGUACCUCACACAGUAUUUGUCCUUUUCUGAUUGGUUUAUUCAUUUAGCAUACCCU